AUCUGUUUCGGAAGACAUGAGCGACAGCGGAUUUGCUGGCGCCGUGCUGAGACACAUACCGUUUUAUGCGCUUUGACCACGGAUGUACUGGCACUGAGGCUGAAACGGUAAGGAAAGGUCGGGCUUGCCCCGGCCUUUUGCUUU
rnacentral:sRNA from 1 species